CAAGGAUUUCACGCCCACAGAACAUACUCGGGUAUGUUCGGCCCAUUUCGUGGCUGGAGAGAAGACGGACGAAAAUAUCGUCCCGCAGCUCUCUCUCGGGUAUGCGCGUAAGGUUGUCGUUGGGAGGCGCCGUUUGGUGCGUGAUGCCAGUUGCGAACC